GAGGUUAUAGCUCAGUGGUAGAGUGUGUGCUUAGCACGCACGGGGUCCUGGGUUCAAGCCCUGGUACCUCCA
rnacentral:tRNA from 1 species